rnacentral:tRNA from 1 species
UCCCAGGUGGCUCAGUGGUAAAGAAUCUGCCUGCCAAGCAGGAGACAUGGGUUCAAUCCUUGGGUUGGGAA